AAAAAAUUAUCCAGUUGAAGGAAAAUCAUCUUCCCGCUGCUUUUCUUGUCUCUACUGCUAGGGUUUAACUCUCCAUCAACAUCAAAUUUAGGGGUUUUGUUUCUGAUUCUCUGAAAGAAAGAAACCGCGUACUAAGUACUAAUACUCUGCUUCUCUGAACAUUCAUUUUUAUUGAAUUAAUUAUAAACCCUAAGCCCAAACAGGAACAAGAGAGAUAAAGAGAAUGAAGGUGAAAGUAAUAUCAUGUUCCACUGAUGAAUUCACACAGGAACGAAGCCAAGACCUCCAGAGGGUGUUUCGUAAUUUCAACCCCAGCCUUCGAACCCAAGAGAAAGCCGUUGAGUAUGUCCGCGCUCUUAACGUCGCCAAACUGGACAAGGUAUUUGCAAGACCCUUUUAUUGGAGCUAUGGAUGGGCAUAGAGAUUCCAUCAAGUGUAUGGCCAAAAACCGAAAUUACUUGAAAGCAAUUUUUUCUGGUUCUGAUGAUGGAGAUAUUCGUUUUUGGGAUUUAGCUUCCAAGUAUUUCUACACCUCUUUGAUUGCAGCUUUGGUUAGUUAGGAUCUUAAUAUUUUAACUCCCCCUCCCAAUCUUUCAUCAAAUGAUUAAAUAAAUUAGAGCUUUGAAACAAUGCUAUUAACAAUUACUUUCUUUUUUUCAAUUUCCUCAUAGUACUACAAUGAUGGUAGCAAUAGUGGUUUCAAGAUCAGUUUAGUAACUCAUUUAUUCUUCUCCAUUAAUGCUUUUGUGGUGGUUUCAUACUGUUACUUUCUUAUUUAAAAUGCACUGUGAUUUACAUAUUUUUGAAAUUUUGAUUCAAAGGCGAAUAGUUUGCCAAUUUCCUGGUCACCAAGGUGCUGUACAAGGUUUGACAGUAUCGACAGAUGGAAGCAUUCUUGUAUCAUGUGGAAGUGAUUGCACUGUUAGGCUCUGGAAUGUUCCUGAUGCUACUCUUGCAGAUCUGGAUAACCUUUCUGAUAAUUCAGCCAAGUUUAUGUUUGGAAGAAUGCAUUUUGGUAAGGAUCAUGACUUGCUAGAAAGUAUCUUUGUUCUUUUAGCCUUUUCACCUUAUGGCAACAUCAGCUAAGUAUGGAUAGAAGCCUGCACCUAGAUCGAGUAGUAUGUGGUUAACACAAUUGGUUUGUGAUAUAACGUUGAGUUCAAACCUCUCAAAUUUUCUAAUCAUCAUAUGCUUCAUCCUAAGUUAAAAUAGACGACUGAAACAGAAUGAUAAUGUUCUGCUUUCAUCCCUUGAAUCAUAUAUUGAAGAUAAAAUUAGGAAGAGGUAGAGUGUAGUGAGAUCCAUAAUGUCAACCAGCUUGUUUUGUAGAGUGACCAAAGCGGUGUAUCCUUCCAAUGAUAUAUUUGGCUACCAUAAGGUUCUCAUGACUCUUUCUAUGCUAUUUUGUGAUCUUGUUUCCAAGACAUAGCAGCUAGGAAUAGUGUCAUAUGCUAUUAAUCUAUGCUUUCCAGUCACAAUAGAUGGUUAGGUAGUUGAAAAUAUGUUGCUUUUUUGUUUAUGGUCAAUUCUUAUUUGAAGAAACACAAUCUUUUAUAAUUGAUCUUGAAUUUGAUUUAUGCUAUUCUGUAAUUUAAGGGAUUUUUAUCGGUGAUAGUAGUAUGUCAUUAACUCUUGAAAUAGGCUUCUAGCUAGCAGUUUUCAAUUUAAUGCUACUUUUAGUUCAUAUUUUGCAUGAGGUUAAACUUCUGAACCUCAAAUUUUGAAGCUUGGUUGUUAAUAUAAUAUGUAAAUUAAAAGAAAAUUAUUCAAUGUGGUUGCCAGUUUGUUUACGUAAAGCAAUUAGCUAUGUAGAUUGAUGUGCAUUAUGCAUUAUGUAGUCUGUCUUUGGUAAUUUGAUUUAUCUUCCCUACCUUUAUUUUACUUUGGGGAGCUCGGUUGCCCUCCUGAAAAUGCAUUUACUCAUUUACAAUGUUUUAGCAUGUCAUACAAAGAGUAUAUGAUUAUUUACAUCCAUUUUUGUUUUUAAUGACUGGAGCAUAACAUUAUAUGAUCUGCGGAUGUCAUCCCCUGCAAGGAAAGUUAUCAUGAGGGUAAUUCUGGACACAUUUGAGUUUGAAAACAUGGAAUCCUUAUUUUUUGCUUGAAAUGAUAAAAUCAUAUCAUUUUUAUUGCAAAUCUAAAUUUUUUUGCUUCUUUUUAUCCAUUAUAAAUGGUAGGUGAUUUUCCUUAGAAAAGCUGCAGAACUUGUUACAUUUAGAUUUAAUAUAUUGGAACGCAAUAGAGCUUAGCAAAUAUAGCUUUUAGUGGUUGUUACUUUAAACUUUGCAUUUAAGGAUAGCUU